CCCUUAGAUGUCCUGGGCCGCACGCGCGCUACACUGAGUGUCUGAGAUACGAGUCUGCCUGGUCCGGCAAGGUCUAGGUAAUCGCUAAAAGACACAUCAUGCUUGGGAUAGAUUAUUGCAAAUAUUAAUCUUGAACGAGGAAUUCCUAGUAAGCUCAAGUCAACAGCUUGCGUUGAUUACGUCCCUGCCCUUUGUACACACCGCCCGUCGCUACUACUGAUUGGAUGUUUAAGCGAGGUUCUCGAACUGCUAGCGACUUAGCUUCGGUGAGGUCGCAGUGUGGGAAGUGAACCUAGCUUUGGUGUCUAGAGGAAGUAAAAGUCGUAACA
rnacentral:rRNA from 1 species